rnacentral:hammerhead_ribozyme from 1 species
AUCCAGCUGACUAAUCCCGAAUAGGACGAAACGUGCGUCCUGGAU